rnacentral:rRNA from 1 species
GCUGGUGGUGAUGCGCCUGGGGGAAACACCCGUACCCAUCCCGAACACGAUGGUUAAGCCCCAGACGGCCGAUGGUACUGCACUGGAGACGGUGUGGGA